AGGAACUUAGGUUAGCACAAGACCAAGGGCCUUCAAAGCCCUAAGCGGGAGUGAAAACCUCCUAGUCCCUG
rnacentral:tRNA from 4 species